rnacentral:misc_RNA from 1 species
GUGUGUGUGUGUGUGUGUGUAUAGGCAUAUAUAUGUUAUUGAAAUGGUGAAGGGCACCAUUAAUUGUACCUUGCAGUGAUGUGCAGAAUUUGCGUGAUAAAUCAUUGAUCGCUGAGAUCUUUGAUUGAUUAUCUGUUGUUAUUGAAAUAAUGAAAGAUAUGAUAUGUUCUUAAUCCGUAUAAUCAGACCUGUGUGCAAAUUCAUCCUCGUACCGGCUGCGAAGAGCAUCUACUGGUUUGCUCUACAAUCCUCUCUUUUUUCUUUUCAUUUUUUUAAGAAGGGUGUUUCUAAAAGUGUAUUUGACUAAUAUGAAACCCAUUUCAUAAACUUUUA